rnacentral:rRNA from 1 species
GCAAGGUUGAAACUCAAAGGAAUUGACGGGGGCCCGCACAAGCGGUGGAGCAUGUGGUUUAAUUCGACGCAACGCGAAGAACCUUACCCAGGUUGGACAUGCUCGUGGUAUGAACCUGAAAGGGUGAGGACUCUGAAAGGAGAGCGAGCUCAGGUGCUGCAUGGCUGUCGUCAGCUCGUGCCGUGAGGUGUUGGGUUAAGUCCCGCAACGAGCGUAACCCCUGUCUUCAGUUGCCAUCGGGUCAAGCCGAGCACUCUGGAGAGACUGCCCAGGAUAACGGGGAGGAAGGUGGGGAUGACGUCAAGUCAGCAUGGCCUUUAUGCCUGGGGCUACACACGUGCUACAAUGACCGGUACAAAGGGUUGCAAUCCCGUAAGGGGGAGCCAAUCCCAAAAAACCGGCCUCAGUUCAGAUUGAGGUCUGCAACUCGACCUCAUGAAGUUGGAAUCGCUAGUAAUCGCGGAUCAGCACGCCGCGGUGAAUACGUUCCCGGGCCUUGUACACACCGCCCGUCACACCACGAAAGUUAGCUGUACCAGAAGUCACUGGCGCCAACCCGUAAGGGAGGCAGGUGCCCAAGGUAUGGUUGGUAAUUGGGGUGAAGUCGUAACAAGGUA